GUGCAUCACAGUCGAGAGUUGCACACGCUAGGUGGCGACAGUUGCACUCGGCGGCUUGUCGUUUUUGGAGCUCUCUCAAACCGAAACUGAGAGUGGUUAGUAAUGAGAAGCUUGUAAAUAAUUAUCUGUUGCGUGCUGCAGCAAACGAUGUGCCGUGUUAUGACUAACAGGCCCCCAGCAACACAUUGCAGCAAAAAAACGCGAGGCCAAAAUUUUUGUGUCAGUACUCUUAACGUCUUGUGGCAGUUAAUAGCAGCAGAAGAGAAUAAGUUUGUCUAAAGAGCAGUAAUGUAACAGAGUCAACUAGAGGAGAAGAGGUACUCCUACUGAGACUCAAACCUUGGUCCUUUGUGUGCAAAUCAAGCAUUCUGUUGCUGCCAUGGUGGUUGAUUUGAGUAAACAGUGCUGAAAACAACCCUCAAUAAUACUGACACAAGCAGUGUUACUUUCUUUGGCUUCCUUUUGUGAAGCCGUUAUGAGCAUUGUUUUGUUAUAGGUCACUCUAGUUUGAUCGAAGCUGCACUUGCUGUCCUGCUCUUGCAGGAUGGAGGUGACCAACAAAGAAGCAUAAAUAUGUUCUAUAUUGAGCUUUUAAACAGGUGAUCAAAGUUACUUGUGACUUCAUGCCAUGUGUCAAAUUGUGCCAUCUUUUCAGGCCCGAAACGUGCACCUCCGCUUGGGGCUGCGGGUGUUCUUGAACACGAAGCCCGAAAUGUCUCAGCAUCUGCAGUGCCUAGUGCCAACCACCAAAAUCACUGUGUUGCUACACCACCUGCAUCAGAGACGUGCCAAGUUCCCGCUCCUCUGGAGGAGUCUG